UACAGAGGUCUCAAGCGUUGUUCGGAUUCAUUGGGCGUAAAGGGUGCGUAGGCGGCGCGGUAAGUCGGGUGUGAAAUCUCGGGGCUUAACUCCGAAACUGCAUUCGAUACUGCCGUGCUUGAGGACUGGAGAGGAGACUGGAAUUCCUGGUGUAGCGGUGAAAUGCGCAGAUAUCAGGAGGAACACCGGUGGCGAAGGCGGGUCUCUGGGCCUGUUCUGACGCUGAGGCGCGAAAGCUAGGGGAGCGAACAGG
rnacentral:rRNA from 1 species